rnacentral:rRNA from 1 species
AUUGAACGCUGGCGGCAUGCUUUACACAUGCAAGUCGAACGGUAACAGGUCUUCGGAUGCCGACGAGUGGCGAACGGGUGAGUAAUGCAUCGGAACGUGCCCAGUCGUGGGGGAUAACGCAGCGAAAGCUGUGCUAAUACCGCAUACGAUCUAUGGAUGAAAGCGGGGGACCGUAAGGCCUCGCGCGAUUAGAGCGGCCGAUAUCUGAUUAGCUUGUUGGUGGGGUAAAAGCCCACCAAGGCGACGAUCAGUAGCUGGUCUGAGAGGACGAUCAGCCACACUGGGACUGAGACACGGCCCAGACUCCUACGGGAGGCAGCAGUGGGGAAUUUUGGACAAUGGGGGCAACCCUGAUCCAGCAAUGCCGCGUGAGUGAAGAAGGCCUUCGGGUUGUAAAGCUCUUUUGUCAGGGAAGAAACAGCAGCUCUAACACAGUCUGCGAAUGACGGUACCUGAAGAAUAAGCACCGGCUAACUACGUG